rnacentral:lncRNA from 1 species
CUGGAGCCUGUGCAUGCAGGCUCUCUGACAGAUGCUCUUCUGUGACACAGAAGCAUCCACCCUGGCUGCUGCAGAUUACCAGGAUUUGACCUGUCAUGGUAAUGUGGGUAGGGUGUCAGUUGCCCCUUCUUCAUCUAACUCCCAAGGAAGCUGUGAGGAGCAUUGGGUUGAAGUUAGUACUCCCUGGGAGUGAUUUUCUUAUACUUCAUCUCCACCUUACUUCCCUGUCCAAGGUUAGGGGGAGGGGGUUUCAGUAAACUGCAGCUGUCAGAGAUCUCUCAACAAGUUUCUUUUUUCAUGGAUUAGUAAGAAAACCCAUUUCAGAGGCAUUCCCUAUGGUUUUAUUUAUUGCUAUCUGGAUGUGUGAAGAAACUGUGUUGAUUUAAUUUCUUCUAGGAAGACUGACUAGUUGUGGACUCUACAAAAUAACUGUCUUGCCUGGUACAGUGGUACUUCUCUCCUGCAAAGAGUUUGGGCUGAGUUGUACAAUUUUCUUUACUGUCUUUGCUGUUUCUGUUCUGUCUUAACUUGGUCUGCUUUUCUUUCCAACUGUGUUAAGCAAGGAAACUUGAGGGUUUUUUCUCCCUCCUUUUCUCACUGUUUACCCUCUCCCCUGACCCCUCUCUGAUCAGUGUUCAGGAUCAAGAAAUUCUUUCCUUAUUUUCUAUUCCAGUAACCAAACUCCACUUCACUUAAGGUUCCAAGGUGUCCAUAAUUGAAUUUUUGAGUCUUUACUCUGUAUCCACUACUUAUUCAGCUGUUCCUUCACUGCUUUGUUUCUGGACUGGGGUGAUCAGAUUGUUGCAUAGAUCUACUGUAUCAUCUUGAGAGAGUGUGUUUAGCAUCUUGAUUCACAUUUCUCCCCCUAGAACUUUAAUCUUCUCUCCUGGAUAGUAAGGCUUGUGCUGAGAAGUCUACUGUUAGUCAUAUUGUAAUUAAAUUACAAGAUGAUGUCAGAUCAGGCAGCAUCCAAAGGAAGCAGAUUUAAAGGGACUGCUGAACCAGGCUUUGAGAUAUCACUCCCUUGUGGAACUCGAUCAGACCCACAGAGUGGAGAGGAGAAGGGUCUGAGGAGAAACCGCAUGGAAGCUCGACUGGACUGGAUUUUUAUGGGGCUUACAGCAGGAAGGGAAGGGCUUGAGACAGGAAAAUGUGUUUUUAGGGUCCCUUGUCCCCUUGGAGUUGAUUAGGGGAGUUGGCUGAACUCCAGAAUUGGCUAGGGGGUCCUGAUGGUUGACAGGCGUUAGUCAGGAGAUCUCACUGAUUGACAGGCAUUUCAGCUGGCACCUGAUUGAUGUUCCUUUCCUUCAAGGGCUGUUUUGUUUUAAGUUGCCACUAAGUCGCCACCACUGACCUAACAUUCCAGCCUUUAUGGUGAUACAGGGC